rnacentral:rRNA from 1 species
GGAUUAGGCAUGCAAGUCGUGCGCGAAAGUCUUCGGACGAGUAAAGCGGCGAAAGGGUGAGUAACACGUAAUCAACGUACCCCCCAGACCGGGAUAACCUCUAGAAAUGGUGGAUAAUACCGGAUGGACUUAUGGCUAGGCAUCUAGUCAAUAGUAAACGGCGGCUUCGGCUGCUGCUGGGGGAGCGGGUUGCGGCCUAUCAGCUUGUUGGUGCGGUAACGGCGCACCAAGGCAAUGACGGGUAGCGGGUCUGAGAGGAUGAUCCGUCACACUGGGACUGAGACACUGCCCAGACUCCUACGGGAGGCUGCAGUCGAGAAUCUUCCACAAUGGGCGAAAGCCUGAUGGAGCGACGCUGCGUGUAGGAUGAAGGCCCUAGGGUUGUAAACUACUGUCACGCUAUAGGAACCCGUAGUCGUUAAUAGCGGCUACGCUGACCAAAGCGAAAGGAAGUGCCGGCUAACUCCGUGCCAGCAGCCGCGGUAAUACGGAGGGCGCAAGCGUUGUUCGGAAUCACUGGGCAUAAAGAGCAUGUAGGCGGUCUAUUAAGUCGGAUGUGAAAGCCCUCGGCCCAACCGGGGAACUGCAUUCGAUACUGAUAGACUUGAGGACAGGAGGGGUGAGUGGAACUUCAGGUGGAACGGUGAAAUGUGUAGAUAUCUGAAGGAACACCGGUGGCGAAAGCGGCUCACUGGCCUGUCUCUGACGCUGAGAUGCGAAAGCUAGGGUAGCGAACGGGAUUAGAUACCCCGGUAGUCCUAGCCGUAAACGAUGGGUACUAGGUAGUGGGUUUUCCCUAUGGGGCUCAUUGCCGUAGCUAAUGUAUUAAGUACCCCGCCUGGGGAGUACGCUCGCAAGGGUAAAACUCAAAGGAAUUGACGGGGGAUCACACAAGCGGUGGAGCAUGUGGUUUAAUUCGAAGCAACGCGAAGAACCUUACCUGGCCUUGACAUACAUGGAUUAGCUCUGUGAAAGCAGAGUGACAGCUCUUCGGAGUCGGAACAUGAACAGGUGUUGCAUGGCUGUCGUCAGCUCGUGUCGUGAGAUGUUGGGUUAAGUCCCGUAACGAGCGAAACCCUUGUCGUUAGUUGCCAGCGAGUAAUGUCGGGGACUCUAACGAGACUGCCGUUGUAAAGCGGAGGAAGGUGGGGACGACGUCAAGUCAUCAUGGCCCUUAUGGCCAGGGCGACACACGUGCUACAAUGGUCUACACAAAGGGUUCCGAGGCCGCGAGGUCAAGGCAAUCCCACAAAGUAGGCCCCAGUUCGGAUUGCAGGCUGAAAUUCGCCUGCAUGAAGCCGGAAUCGCUAGUAAUCGCGUAUCAGCCAUGACGCGGUGAAUAUGUUCCUGAUCCUUGUACACACUGCCCGUCAAGCCACGGGAGCGGGGAGCGCUCGAAGUCGUUUUGUCUAACCCUCGGGAGGACGGCGCCGAAAGCGAGCUUCGUAACUGGGACUAAGUCGUAACAAGGUAGCCGUAGGGGAACCUGCGGCUGGAUCACCUCCUUUCUAACGGAUAUGUUAGACGCCCCAGCUACGCUGGGGUGGCAAGCAUGGGACUUGCUCAUGCCAACGAAGGUCACCCUUUCUUAUACUCUUCUCGGAGAGGCACUACUUACGAGUAGUGUCAUCGGGAACCAGGCCAAUCAGCCUGGUAGACACGGUAAUUGAACCGCGCACUCCACAGGAGUGUGAUUGCCUUCGGGCAUGUAUCAAUGCCGUGCGAGCGCCGAACCGGUAGGGCCUGUAGCUCAGUUGGUUAGAGCGUUCGCCUGAUAAGCGAGAGGUCACAAGUUCGACUCUUGUCAGGCCCACCACCUUCAACGGGGGAUUAGCUCAGUUGGUAGAGCACCUGGUUUGCAACCAGGGGGUCAUCGGUUCGAGUCCGUUAUCCUCCAUCACUUAUGGUGGUGGAGUUAUGUGACCCUCCCGCGUCAGUCAAACACCCUUAUCCGAGAGGCGAGUAGAAGAGCGCACGAACAGAUCGAGUCCUUCGGGGCCUGGUCGUUCUUUGAAAACAAGGUGAAUUAGAACGUGGGCAUUAAGUUGCCACGAGUAAAAACAAGAAGAGCGUGGUUAAGCUACGAAGAGUGUAUGGUGGAUGCCUUGGCGUCUGAAGCCGAUGAAGGACGUGACAUAGCUGCGAGAAGCUUCGGGGAGCCGCUAAGUGGGCUUUGAUCCGGAGAUGUCCGAGAUUGGGAAACCAGGUGAGAUUUAUCUCUCAUCAGCGCGUAAGCGCAGGGAACGCAGGGAACUGAAACAUCUAAGUAC